rnacentral:rRNA from 1 species
AUUGAACGCUGGCGGCAGGCCUAACACAUGCAAGUCGAGCGGAUGAAGGGAGCUUGCUCCUGGAUUCAGCGGCGGACGGGUGAGUAAUGCCUAGGAAUCUGCCUGGUAGUGGGGGAUAACGUCCGGAAACGGGCGCUAAUACCGCAUACGUCCUGAGGGAGAAAGUGGGGGAUCUUCGGACCUCACGCUAUCAGAUGAGCCUAGGUCGGAUUAGCUAGUUGGUGGGGUAAAGGCCUACCAAGGCGACGAUCCGUAACUGGUCUGAGAGGAUGAUCAGUCACACUGGAACUGAGACACGGUCCAGACUCCUACGGGAGGCAGCAGUGGGGAAUAUUGGACGAUGGGCGAAAGCCUGAUCCAGCCAUACCGCGUGUGUGAAGAAGGUCUUCGGAUUGUAAAGCACUUUAAGUUGGGAGGAAGGGCAGUAAGUUAAUACCUUGCUGUUUUGACGUUACCAACAGAAUAAGCACCGGCUAACUUCGUG